rnacentral:rRNA from 1 species
CGAACGCUGGCGGCAGGCCUAACACAUGCAAGUCGAACGCCGUAGCAAUACGGAGUGGCAGACGGGUGAGUAACACGUGGGAACGUACCUUUCGGUUCGGAAUAACUCAGGGAAACUUGAGCUAAUACCGGAUACGUGCGAGAGCAGAAAGAUUUAUCGCCGAAAGAUCGGCCCGCGUCCGAUUAGCUUGUUGGUGAGGUAAUGGCUCACCAAGGCGACGAUCGGUAGCUGGUCUGAGAGGAUGAUCAGCCACACUGGGACUGAGACACGGCCCAGACUCCUACGGGAGGCAGCAGUGGGGAAUAUUGGACAAUGGGCGAAAGCCUGAUCCAGCCAUGCCGCGUGAGUGAUGAAGGCCUUAGGGUUGUAAAGCUCUUUUGUCCGGGAAGAUAAUGACGGUACCGGAAGAAUAAGCCCCGGCUAACUUCGUG